rnacentral:rRNA from 1 species
UACGUAGGGGGCAAGCGUUGUCCGGAGUUACUGGGCGUAAAGCGCGCGCAGGCGGCCGCCUAAGGCCGGCGUGAAAGCCCCCGGCUCAACCGGGGAGGGUCGUCGGCGACUGGGCGGCUUGAGGCCGGCAGGGGUCGGUGGAAUGCCCGGUGUAGUGGUGAAAUGCGUAGAGAUCGGGCGGAACACCCGUGGCGAAGGCGGCCGACUGGGCCGGGCCUGACGCUGAGGCGCGAAGGCGUGGGGAGCGAACGGG